UGUUAAGAGGAGGCAUAUUGAGAUAUAAUUGAAAUAAAACUUGAAAAUCCUUUACCAAUCCUGUUUAUGUUGCAUUUAAUGAGGACCAAACAAAUGAGAAAUAAUAAUUUAAUAAUAUAAAUUAAUUAAUCUAUAUAUAUAUAAAACCGAAGCUUUUGAAACUCCCACAAUUUUCCACGUCAGCACGUAUUAAAAAGAAAAAACAAAAAACAAAAAAAAAAACGUAAUAAAACUACAGCAAACCGCGAUACUCUACCAGCUCCUCCUCGAUGCUCUCUGCCAUCCUCUACCAUCUCCUCCUCAAUCAGACCCACGGCAAACCUACAGCAAAACAUUGCAUCGCAUACAAACCAAAUCCACUUUUAUUUUCUUCAGCUCCACUCACACACAACUCUCAAACUCUCAUUCUUCUCAAGCUUCCUAAGAAACCCAGGUCCAAAAAUUCCCACCACAGACCCAAUUUUUGUGUUCUAACUUCUGCAAACCCAAAUGGGUCUAAUGGGUUUUCAUGGCUGAGUCUGACUCGGUCGGUCCGGUGUGGCUCGGAGCGGCUGUGGUCGAAACUCGGCAAGUCAGGGAAGAAGGAAACUAGGUUUGCUUGGAAGAUGCCAAUGUGAAGGUGGGUGAGUUUGUGGGGCGAGCUAAGGAAGGGGUCAGCAAAGGUCGGGGUGAGUCGGAACGGUUUAGGACUGAGUUAGUGCCUGAAUUUUUGAGUUAGAAUUGGUGGGAGCGUUGGAAGCUGUGAAGCUUCAUUGCAAGAUUGAUAAAGUUGCAGGAGUUCUUGAGACUAAUCGUCCAGAUGCAAAGAAUGCUCUUUACCAAGCAACUAUCAAGCGAGGGGACUUCCCAUUGAACCGGAUCUAGAAGCUGUCUCGUGUGGUUGAUCUCUGAAGCAUUUUUUUUUUUUUCUGUUUUGGAAACAGUGCCAAAAUUUGCUGUCACUUCCCAAGGAUAGAAAAAAAUGCUCAUGGUUAGUUAGUUAUUAAACUCAUUAGGAUUAUUUUAGCAAUAUUUAGUCCACUAUUUAUAUCUGAAUGCUAUAUCAAAAGUGUUGAUGUGAAUUUUUGUAGCUUUGUAUUGGAGAUGUGUUAACUAUGA